AUGUGGGACGGCUUUUCACCACCACCAGCCUGGCCUGGACUCAGACCAACAGAUUUCCAUUCAGUCCUGGUGUCUCUUUGCAUCUCCUUCCUGGUGAGGAACAGCAGGGAUCACCAUUCACCUAGAGCAAGAUUCUGGUUAAGAGAUGCAGGAGAGAGCAUCCAAAUGGGAGAUAUAAUUGGGCUGUUUCAAACAGUGAAACCAGGACUCCCACGGGCUUCCAACCAGUGAAAGAGAUUUCCCAAAUGUGGAAAGUGGUUUGGAAGUGAGAGGAGGAAUUUAUGCUCACAACCUGGCAUUGUUCCAGGAAAAAGCUGGCUGUUACCAACAGGAGGUGGGUCAUCAAGCCUUCAUAAGUACAUACAUUUACCUCCCAUAUAAAGAAGAGAGGUUCCUGUUCUCAACCAGGAUAUGCAAACAAGGAAACUCACUGGAAUGAGACUGCUGGGCCCCUCAGAUUUCAACACCCGGCUGUUUUCCCAAGAGAGCUGGUUCAACCUGCUGAAUAUUUGGACAGAAGCCAGCCUACACACUGACAACUCCCUGUGACUGAAAGCGUUGGGUUUGGCCUCUCCAGUGUCACCUCAAUGUGUUUCAUAUGCGGGGGGGGGCCCUUCAGGUAGGAAGGGGGAGCUUUGCCAGCCCUAUUUGGCACCUAACACUAUGUGAUCUUUACCAGUUGCUGUAAACUAGCUCCAAGUGGCACUUUUACGCUAUCAUUUUUGCCUGUUCACAUUCAGAUGUCACUAGUCUCCAUUGCUUGUAUGGAGGUGGAUAGACUAUGUCUAAGAAGAUUUCUACUCUCUCCAGAGGUUGCUCUAUACCACAUAUAAUAGCACAUCUGGAAACCUGAUUAUAACACAGCUCCAUUUUGUAGUUUAGGUGGGACUUUAACCAUGUUCCUGAGUAAUGCUAAAGCUUUGGAUAGUCCAAAAGCUAGUCCAGGUGAGCCCUCAAUCCUGUGUAUGCAGCACUUUUGCCUGGGCCACCUUUGCUCUGCACUGUGGUGUAAUGGGAAUCCUGCCAGGGAAACAAUCAUUUUGCAUACAAAUCUGUUUACAUGAAAAAUGUUUGCAGAACUUUCAAGCACUAGGAUCAUACUGAAGCAGCACAACAGCUGUACCACACCUGUUAAUUCAUUUAUACAGCUAUCUUUCCGAAUUUGUGGCAUAGGGAUGGUGGGAGCCAUGUCCCUCGAUGUGCUGUGGCUAUAGACAGUGAAUAGAGCAUA
rnacentral:lncRNA from 1 species